AUACGGAGGGUGCAAGCGUUAAUCGGAAUUACUGGGCGUAAAGCGUACGUAGGCGGUUGGUUAAGUUAGAUGUGAAAGCCCCGGGCUUAACCUGGGAACUGCAUUUAAAACUGGCGAACUAGAGUUGAGUAGAGGGGAGUGGAAUUUCAGGUGUAGCGGUGAAAUGCGUAGAGAUCUGAAGGAACACCAGUGGCGAAGGCGACUCCCUGGACUCGAACUGACGCUGAGGUACGAAAGCGUGGGUAGCAAACGGGAUUAGAAACCCUAGUAGUCC
rnacentral:rRNA from 1 species